CGAGGCUUGGCAUGCUCUUCCUGGGAAAGUUUUAGAAAAAAAAAUGCGUGCAAUUCUGUAACAGUAUACUGGAUGCAGGACAAUUUACAACUUCAAUCAUAGACGAUCAAAUUUUCGCUAAACAAAGUCACAGGGUUUUCCGUAAAAUGAACUAUGAUCAGAUUGAGGACGAUGAACAGAUUAUCAAAACUCCAUGUGCAAAAAGUAAGAC
rnacentral:lncRNA from 1 species